rnacentral:misc_RNA from 1 species
UACUCUCACACUCCCGAUCUUUGGAUUGGGAGCGGUGGACUUGGGUGUUGCUGCUUACCGUGGCUCACCUCAAAUGGAUUCGUGCACCUCCUGGUUGGACAUAGUACGGCGUGAUAAGUGUCUUCGCCGGCACCUCAGUAGAGGGUGGCUGACCGGGAGCUCUGUGCUUCAAACCGUCUUCGGACAACAACUGACA